rnacentral:rRNA from 1 species
UUAGAGUUUGAUCCUGGCUCAGGAUGAACGCUAGCGGCAGGCUUAACACAUGCAAGUCGAGGGGCAGCGAGAUCAGUGCUUGCACUGAUUGUCGGCGACCGGCGCACGGGUGCGUAACGCGUAUGCAACCUACCCAUUACAGGGGGAUAACACUGAGAAAUCGGUACUAAUACCCCAUAACAUCCAGGGAGGCAUCUUCUUGGGUUGAAAACUCCGGUGGUAAUGGAUGGGCAUGCGUUGUAUUAGUUAGUUGGUGGGGUAACGGCUCACCAAGACAACGAUACAUAGGGGGACUGAGAGGUUAAACCCCCACAUUGGUACUGAGACACGGACCAAACUCCUACGGGAGGCAGCAGUGAGGAAUAUUGGUCAAUGGACGCAAGUCUGAACCAGCCAUGCCGCGUGCAGGAAGACGGCUCUAUGAGUUGUAAACUGCUUUUGUACGAGGGUAAACGCAGAUACGCGUAUCUGUCUGAAAGUAUCGUACGAAUAAGGAUCGGCUAACUCCGUGCCAGCAGCCGCGGUAAUACGGAGGAUUCAAGCGUUAUCCGGAUUUAUUGGGUUUAAAGGGUGCGUAGGCGGUCGGAUAAGUUAGAGGUGAAAUCCCGGGGCUCAACUUCGGAAUUGCCUCUGAUACUGUUCGGCUAGAGAGUAGUUGCGGUAGGCGGAAUGUAUGGUGUAGCGGUGAAAUGCUUAGAGAUCAUACAGAACACCGAUUGCGAAGGCAGCUUACCAAGCUACUUCUGACGUUGAGGCACGAAAGCGUGGGGAGCAAACAGGAUUAGAUACCCUGGUAGUCCACGCAGUAAACGAUGAUAACUCGUUGUCGGCGAUACAGUGUCGGUGACUAAGCGAAAGCGAUAAGUUAUCCACCUGGGGAGUACGUUCGCAAGAAUGAAACUCAAAGGAAUUGACGGGGGCCCGCACAAGCGGAGGAACAUGUGGUUUAAUUCGAUGAUACGCGAGGAACCUUACCCGGGCUUGAAAGUUAGUGACGGAUCUUGAAAGAGGUCUUCCCUUCGGGGCACGAAACUAGGUGCUGCAUGGUUGUCGUCAGCUCGUGCCGUGAGGUGUCGGGUUAAGUCCCAUAACGAGCGCAACCCCUACCGUUAGUUGCCAGCAGGUCAAGCUGGGCACUCUGACGGGACUGCCGGUGUAAGCCGAGAGGAAGGUGGGGAUGACGUCAAAUCAGCACGGCCCUUACGUCCGGGGCUACACACGUGUUACAAUGGCAGGUACAGAGGGCAGCUACCCAGCGAUGGGAUGCGAAUCUCGAAAGCCUGUCUCAGUUCGGAUUGGAGGCUGAAACCCGCCUCCAUGAAGUUGGAUUCGCUAGUAAUCGCGCAUCAGCCAUGGCGCGGUGAAUACGUUCCCGGGUCUUGCACACACCGCCCGUCAAG